rnacentral:rRNA from 1 species
GAUGAACGCUGGCGGCGUGCCUAAUACAUGCAAGUCGAGCGAACAGAUGAGGAGCUUGCUCCUCUGACGUUAGCGGCGGACGGGUGAGUAACACGUGGAUAACCUACCUAUAAGACUGGGAUAACUUCGGGAAACCGGAGCUAAUACCGGAUAAUAUAUUGAACCGCAUGGUUCAAUAGUGAAAGACGGUUUUGCUGUCACUUAUAGAUGGAUCCGCGCCGCAUUAGCUAGUUGGUAAGGAACGGCUUACCAAGGCAACGAUGCGUAGCCGACCUGAGAGGGUGAUCGGCCACACUGGAACUGAGACACGGUCCAGACUCCUACGGGAGGCAGCAGUAGGGAAUCUUCCGCAAUGGGCGAAAGCCUGACGGAGCAACGCCGCGUGAGUGAUGAAGGUCUUCGGAUCGUAAAACUCUGUUAUUAGGGAAGAACAAAUGUGUAAGUAACUAUGCACGUCUUGACGGUACCUAAUCAGAAAGCCACGGCUAACUACGU